AGAACGAACGCUGGCGGCAUGCCUAAUACAUGCAAGUCGAACGAACUCUUCGGAGUUAGUGGCGCACGGGUGCGUAACGCGUGGGAAUCUGCCCCUUGGUUCGGAAUAACAGUUGGAAACGACUGCUAAUACCGGAUGAUGACGAAAGUCCAAAGAUUUAUCGCCAAGGGAUGAGCCCGCGUAGGAUUAGCUAGUUGGUGAGGUAAAGGCUCACCAAGGCAACGAUCCUUAGCUGGUCUGAGAGAUGAUCACGCCACACGUGGGACUGGACGACACCGGCCCAGACCUCCGUACGGGAGGCGAGCAGGUAGGAAUAGUAGGACAAGUGGGAC
rnacentral:rRNA from 1 species